rnacentral:misc_RNA from 1 species
CAUGCCAUGGCCUCUAAAAUGUCAGCUGCUCCCUAGCAUGCUACUACCGCGUAGCAUG